UGAAUACGAGAUGCUACGGCGUCGAAGCAGUCUAUGUCAGACUUCCAAGAAAAGCUUGCACUGUCAAAAACAAAUAAUGCCUGUACCAUAACCGACACAGGUGGGUAGGUAGAGUAUACUAAGGGGCGCGAGAUAACUCUCUCUAAGAAACUCGGCAAAAUGACUCCGUAACUUCGGGAGAAGGAGUGCCUUAUUUUUAAGGUUGCAAUAACAAGAUCCAAGCAACUGUUUAUCAAAAACACAGGUCUCCGCGAAGUCGUAAGACGAUGUAUGGGGGCUGACGCCUGCCCAGUGCCAGAAGGUUAAAGAAGUUGGUUAGCAUUCGCGAAGCUGAUAACUGAAGCCCUGGUGAACGGCGGCCGUAACUAUAACGGUCCUAAGGUAGCGAAAUUCCUUGUCGGGUAAGUUCCGACCCGCACGAAAGGCGUAAUGAUUUGGAUACUGUCUCGGAGAGGGGCUCGGUGAAAUAGACUUGUCUGUGAAGAUGCGGACUACCUGCACCUGGACAGAAAGACCCUAUGAAGCUUUACUGUAACUUGAAAUUGAAAUUGGACUUUAUUUGCGCAGUAUAGGUGGGAGGCCUUGAGAAGAAUCUUGCGGUAUUCUUGGAGCCAUCAGUGAGAUACCACUCUUGUAAUGUUAGAUUUCUAACUUUGUAUCAUUCUCUGGUCAAAGAACAGUUUCAGGCGGGCAGUUUGACUGGGGCGGUCGCCUCCCAAACGGUAACGGAGGCGCACAAAGGUUUCCUCUGAACGGGUAGAAAUCGUAUCUAGAGUGUAAAGGCAUAAGGAAGCUUGACUGUGAGACCUACAAGUCGAGCAGGGACGAAAGUCGGUCUUAGUGAUCUGACGGUACUGAGUGGAAAGGCCGUCACUCAACGGAUAAAAGUUACUCUAAGGAUAACAGGCUGAUCUCCCCCAAGAGUUCACAUCGACGGGGAGGUUUGGCACCUCGAUGUCGGCUCAUCGCAUCCUGGGGCGGUAGUACGUCCCAAGGGUUGGGCUGUUCGCCCAUGAAAGCGGUACGCGAGCUGGGUUCAGAACGUCGUGAGACAGUUCGGUCCAUAUCCGGUGUAGGCGUUAGAAUAUUGAGAGGAGCCUUCUCUAGUACGAGAGGACCGAGAAGGACAUACCUCUGGUGUACCAGUUAUCGUGCCAACGGUAAACGCUGGGUAGCUAUGUAUGGAGUGGAUAACCGCUGAAAGCAUCUAAGUGGGAAGCCCACCUCAAGAUAAGUAUUCUCC
rnacentral:rRNA from 1 species